GUUAUGAGUUAACAAAUGUUAGUGGCCAAAGUCAAGGUUAUUAUGACUCUAACGUUUUGCUUUUUAACCAACAAAAUCAAAAGUUCCAAGUAUUUUU
rnacentral:sRNA from 1 species